UACGGAGGAUCCGAGCGUUAUCCGGAUUUAUUGGGUUUAAAGGGUGCGUAGGCGGUUUGAUAAGUUAGAGGUGAAAUGUCGGGGCUCAACCCCGAAACUGCCUCUAAUACUGUUGGACUAGAGAAUAGUUGCGGUAGGCGGAAUGUAUGGUGUAGCGGUGAAAUGCUUAGAGAUCAUACAGAACACCGAUUGCGAAGGCAGCUUACCAAACUAUAUCUGACGUUGAGGCGCGAAAGCGUGGGUAGCAAACAGG
rnacentral:rRNA from 1 species